AUUGAACGCUGGCGGCAGGCCUAACACAUGCAAGUCGAACGGCAGCGGGGGGUAGCUUGCUACCCCGCCGGCGAGUGGCGGACGGGUGAGUAAUGCCUGGGGAGCUGCCCAAUCGAGGGGGAUACCAGUUGGAAACGACUGCUAAUACCGCAUACGCCCUGAGGGGGAAAGGUGGGGAUCUUCGGACCUAUCGCGAUUGGAUGCACCCAGGUGGGAUUAGCUAGUUGGUGAGGUAACGGCUCACCAAGGCGACGAUCUCUAGCUGGUCUGAGGGGCUGACCCGCCCAACUGGAACUGGGAAACGGUCCAGAAUCCUACGGGAGGCAGCAGUGGGGAAUAUUGCACAAAGGGGGAAACCCUGAUGCAGCCAUGCCGCGUGUGUGAAGAAGGCCUUCGGGUUGUAAAGCACUUUCAGCGAGGAGGAAAGGGUGGCAGCUAAUACCUGUCAUCUGUGACGUUACUCGCAGAAGAAGCACCGGCUAACUCCGUGCCAGCCGCCGCGGUAAAAC
rnacentral:rRNA from 1 species